CCUACGGGUGGCAGCAGUGGGGAAUAUUGCACAAUGGGGGAAACCCUGAUGCAGCGACGCCGCGUGAGUGAAGAAGUAUUUCGGGAUGUAAAGAUCUAUCAGCAGGGAAGAAGAAAGACGGUACCAGACGAAGAAGCACCGGCUAACUACGUGCCAGCAGCCGCGGUAAUAAGGAGGGGGCAAGCGUGAUCCGGAUUAACGGGGAGUAAAGGGAGCGUAGAAGGCUGGUCAAGUCGGAAGUGAAAGCCCCGGGCUCAACCCUGGGACUGCUUUGGAAACUGUGGAGCUAGAGUGCUGGAGAGGUAAGUGGACUUCCUAGUGUAGCGGUGAAAUGCGUAGAUAUUAGGAGGAACACCAGUGGCGAAGGCGGCUUACUGGACAGUACCUGACGUUGAGGCUCGAAAGCGUGGGUAGCAAACAGGAUUAGAUACCCCUGUAGUC
rnacentral:rRNA from 1 species